GCCAGCAGCCAUAUCACCCUGCAACUCACAACUGGCAGCCCACUGAAGCUAAGCAGGUGUGAGCCUGGUCAGUACCUGGAUGGGGGGACCUCCUGGGAAAAACUAAGGCUGCUGCUGGAA
rnacentral:rRNA from 1 species